GCUCGUGUGGUCUAGUGGUUAGAGCGUCCGUCUAGGAUACGGGUGGUCGUGGGUUCAAACCCCAGCCGAGUCA